rnacentral:ribozyme from 13 species
AAGAGAAAGAGAGAGAUAAAGAGAGAAAAGAAAUAGAACGAAAAGAGAGACAACUCGCUCUCUCAGCUUCUCUCCAUUCUCUCAGUCUCCCUCUCUCUCCUCUCUCUCUCUCUUCAAUAGUGAAGAUUUCUCUCUUCCACUCUUUAUUCGAGAUAAGAACCGAAAUUCUUGGAAAGAAAGAAAUUGUUGUUGAGAAUUUUUUUGAUGUUUGUGUUUCAAUU